CAGUAGCCACGGUAAUACGUAGGGUGCAAGCGUUAAUCGGAAUUACUGGGCGUAAAGCGUGCGCAGGCGGUUUGUUAAGACAGAUGUGGAAUCCCCGGGCUCAACCUGGGAACUGCAUUUGUGACUGGCAAGCUAGAGUGUGGCAGAGGGGGGUGGAAUUCCGCGUGUAGCAGUGAAAUGCGUAGAUAUGCGGAGGAACACCGAUGGCGAAGGCAGCCCCCUGGGCCAACACUGACGCUCAUGCACGAAAGCGUGGGGAGCAAACAGGAUUAGAUACCCCGGUAGUCCCUGUCUCUUAUAC
rnacentral:rRNA from 1 species